AGUGAACGCUGGCGGUGGGCCUAACACAUGCAAGUCGAACGGCAGCACAGUAAGAGCUUGCUCUUACGGGUGGCGAGUGGCGGACGGGUGAGGCAUACAUCGGAAUCUACUUUUUCGUGGGGGAUAACGUAGGGAAACUUACGCUAAUACCCCAUACGACCUACGGGUUAAAGCAGGGGAUCUUCGGACCUUGCGCGAUUGAAUGAGCCGAUGUCGGAUUAGCUAGUUGGCGGGGUAAAGGCCCACCAAGGCGACGAUACGUAGCGGGUCUGAGAGGAUGAUCAGCCACACUGGAACUGAGACACGGUCCAGACUCCUACGGGAGGCAGCAGUGGGGAAUAUUGGACAAUGGGCGCAAGCCUGAUCCAGCCAUACCGCGUGGGUGAAGAAGGCCUUCGGGUUGUAAAGCCCUUUUGUUGGGAAAGAAAAGCAGCAGGUUAAUACCCCGCUGUUCUGACGGUACCCAAAGAAUAAGCACCGGCUAACUUCGUG
rnacentral:rRNA from 1 species